UGGGGAAUAUUGGACAAUGGGCGCAAGCCUGAUCCAGCAAUGCCGCGUGCAGGAUGAAGGCCUUCGGGUUGUAAACUGCUUUUGUACGGAACGAAACGGCUCCUAUUAAUACUGGGGGCUAAUGACGGUACCGUAAGAAUAAGCACCGGCUAACUACGUGCCAGCAGCCGCGGUAAUACGUAGGGUGCGAGCGUUAAUCGGAAUUACUGGGCGUAAAGCGUGCGCAGGCGGUUAUAUAAGACAGAUGUGAAAUCCCCGGGCUCAACCUGGGACCUGCAUAUGUGACUGUACAGCUAGAGUACGGUAGAGGGGGAUGGAAUUCCGCGUGUAGCAGUGAAAUGCGUAGAUAUGCGGAGGAACACCGAUGGCGAAGGCAAUCCCCUGGACCUGUACUGAUGCUCAUGCACGAAAGCGUGGGGAGCAAACAGGAUUAGAUACCCUUGUAGUCCCUGAGCGGGCUGGCA
rnacentral:rRNA from 1 species